rnacentral:rRNA from 1 species
GCAUGAAGCCGGAAUCGCUAGUAAUCGCGGAUCAGAAUGCCGCGGUGAAUACGUUCCCGGGUCUUGUACACACCGCCCGUCACACCAUGGGAGUCGGGAAUGCCCGAAGCCGGCGGCCUAACCUUAUAGGAGGGAGCCGUCGAAGGCAGGCCCGGUGACUGGGGUGAAGUCGUAACAAGGUAUC